rnacentral:rRNA from 1 species
GACGAACGCUGGCGGCGUGCUUAACACAUGCAAGUCGAACGGAAAGGCCCUGCUUUUGUGGGGUGCUCGAGUGGCGAACGGGUGAGUAACACGUGAGUAACCUGCCCUUGACUUUGGGAUAACUUCAGGAAACUGGGGCUAAUACCGGAUAGGAGCUCCUGCUGCAUGGGGGGGGUUGGAAAGUUUCGGCGGUUGGGGAUGGACUAGCGGCUUAUCAGCUUGUUGGUGGGGUAGUGGCUUACAAAGGCUUUGACGGGAAGCCGGCCUGGGAGGGUGACCGGCCACAUGGGCACUGAGAUACGGCCCAGACUCCUACGGGCGGCAGCAGUGGGGACUAGUGCACAAUGGGCGGAAGCCUGAUGCAGCAACGCCGCGUGCGGGAUGACGGCCUUCGGGUUGUAAACCGCUUUCGCCUGUGACGAAGCGUGAGUGACGGUAAUGGGUAAAGAAGCACCGGCUACCUACGU